CGGUUGAUCCUGCCGGAGGCCGCUGCUAUCCGGCUGGGACUAAGCCAUGCGAGUCAAGGGGCUUGUACCCCUUCGGGGGUGCAAGCACCGGCGGACGGCUCAGUAACACGUGGACAACCUGCCCUCGGGUGGGGGAUAACCCCGGGAAACUGGGGCUAAUCCCCCAUAGGUGAUGGGUGCUGGAAUGCCCCAUCACCGAAAGCGCUCAGCGCCCGAGGAUGGGUCUGCGGCGGAUUAGGUAGUUGGCGGGGUAACGGCCCGCCAAGCCGAAGAUCCGUACGGGCCAUGAGAGUGGGAGCCCGGAGAUGGACCCUGAGACACGGGUCCAGGCCCUACGGGGCGCAGCAGGCGCGAAACCUCCGCAAUGCGGGAAACCGCGACGGGGCUAGCCGGAGUGCCGAUGCCUCGCAUCGGCUGUCGGGGAGCCUAAAAAGCUCCCCACAGCAAGGGCCGGGCAAGGCCGGUGGCAGCCGCCGCGGUAAUACCGGCGGCCCGAGUGGCAGCCACUAUUAUUGGGCCUAAAGCGUCCGUAGCCGGUCUGGCAAGUCCCCCGGGAAAUCUGGCGGCUUAACCGUCAGGCUGCCGGGGGAUACUGCCAGACUAGGGACCGGGAGAGGCCGGGGGUAUUCCCGGGGUAGGGGUGAAAUCCUGUAAUCCCGGGAGGACCACCUGUGGCGAAGGCGCCCGGCUGGAACGGGUCCGACGGUGAGGGACGAAGGCCUGGGGAGCGAACCGGAUUAGAUACCCGGGUAGUCCAGGCUGUAAACGAUGCGGGCUAGGUGUCGCGACAGCCACGAGCUGUCGCGGUGCCGGAGGGAAGCCGUUAAGCCCGCCGCCUGGGAAGUACGGCCGCAAGGCUGAAACUUAAAGGAAUUGGCGGG
rnacentral:rRNA from 1 species